rnacentral:rRNA from 1 species
CCUACGGGAGGCAGCAGUGAGGAAUAUUGGUCAAUGGGCGAGAGCCUGAACCAGCCAAGUCGCGUGAGGGAAUACUGCCCUAUGGGUUGUAAACCUCUUUUGUCGGGGAGCAAAAGCCGGACGUGUCCGGCUGUGAGAGUACCCGAAGAAAAAGCAUCGGCUAACUCCGUGCCAGCAGCCGCGGUAAUACGGAGGAUGCGCGCGUUAUCCGGAUUUAUUGGGUUUAAAGGGUGCGCAGGCGGAUUUUUAAGUCAGCGGUAAAAUCGUGGGGCUCAACCCCAUCCAGCCGUUGAAACUGGGGAUCUAGAGUGUGCGAGAGGUAUGCGGAAUGCGUGGUGUAGCGGUGAAAUGCAUAGAUAUCACGAAGAACCCCGAUUGCGAAGGCAGCAUACCGGUGCACAACUGACGCUCAGGCACGAAAGCGUGGGUAUCGAACAGGAUUAGAUACCCGAGUAGUC